rnacentral:rRNA from 1 species
UACGUAGGGUGCGAGCGUUAAUCGGAAUUACUGGGCGUAAAGAGUGCGCAGGCGGCUUCGCAAGUCGAGUGUGAAAUCCCCGAGCUUAACUUGGGAAUUGCGCUCGAAACUACGGAGCUGGAGUGUGGCAGAGGAAGGUGGAAUUCCACGUGUAGCGGUGAAAUGCGUAGAGAUGUGGAGGAACACCGAUGGCGAAGGCAGCCUUCUGGGCCAACACUGACGCUGAUGCACGAAAGCGUGGGGAGCAAACAGG